AUUGAACGCUGGCGGCAGGCCUAACACAUGCAUGUCGAACGAGUGGCGGACGGGUGUGUAAUGUCAGGGAAACUGCCCGAUGGAGGGGGAUCAACACUGGAAACGGUAGCUAAUACCGCAUACUAUUAGAUGUGCCGAGAUGGGAUUAGCUUGUUGGUGGGGUAACGGCUCACAUAGGCGACGAGCCCUUGCUGGUAUGAGAGGAGGAACAGCCACACUGGAACUGAGACACGGUCCAGACUCCUACGGGAGGCAGGAGUUGGGAAUAUUGCACAAUGGGAGCAAGCCUGAUGCAGCCAUGCCGCGUGUAUGAAGAAGGCCUUCGGUUUGUAAAGUACUUUCAGCAGGGAGGCGUUACCCGCAGAAGAAGCACCGGCUAACUCCGUGCCAGCAGCCGCGGUAAUUC
rnacentral:rRNA from 1 species